UUGACGGGACCGUACCAUUACAGAACGCCCAGCUCAAUGCCAGGACCCGCGGUAAUACGGAGGUUAAGGGGGUAACCUGGAUUUAUUGGGUUUGGAGGGUCCGGUGGGGAAUUUGUAAGUUAAGGUUGAAAUCUACUCCCUAAACUGUAAAACUGAAAUUGAUAUUAAAAGGGUGGAAUUGAUUGGAGGAAAGGGAAAUGGAUUUUGUAGGGGUGAAAUGGUUAGAUUUAAGAUGAAAAACAAAUUGGGAAGGCAAGGUAAUACGCUGAAAUUGAGGCUGAGGAACGAAACAAAGGGGAUGGAAAGGGAUUAGAUACCCUGGUAGUCCACGCCGUAAACUAUGGAUACUA
rnacentral:rRNA from 1 species